rnacentral:rRNA from 1 species
CCUGCUCAAUGAAUUUUAAAUAGCCGCAAUUUAUGUGCUAAGGUAGCAUAAUAAUUUGUUCCUUAAUUAGGAAAUAGAAUGAAAGGAUAAACGUUUUAUAUUCUUUCUUAAUUAUAAAAAUUUAAAUUUAAUUAAAUAUAAAAAUAUAUUUAUAAAAAAGGAAGACGACAAGACCCUAAGAACUUUAUUUAUUAAUUUUACUGGGGAAGUAAAAUAAAUAUAUUUUAUAACUUUAAUAUUUCAAAAAGCUAAAAUUAAAGAUUAAUUAUAGUUACCUUAGGGAUAACAGCAUAAUUUAUAUAUAUAGAUCAAAUUUAAAUAUAAUUUUAUGACCUCGAUGUUGAAUUAAAUAAACUUAUAUAAGCACAAAUAUAUAAAGUAAGUCUGUUCGACUUUUAAACUUUUACAU